GCGAGGAGGAGGCUACUUGGAUUAAUACUCUAGGAUAGUGGACGUUACUCGCAGAAUAAGCACCGGCUAACUCUGUGCCAGCAGCCGCGGUAAUACAGAGGGUGCGAGCGUUAAUCGGAUUUACUGGGCGUAAAGCGUGCGUAGGCGGCUUCUUAAGUCGGAUGUGAAAUCCCUGAGCUUAACUUAGGAAUUGCAUUCGAUACUGGGAAGCUAGAGUAUGGGAGAGGAUGGUAGAAUUCCAGGUGUAGCGGUGAAAUGCGUAGAGAUCUGGAGGAAUACCGAUGGCGAAGGCAGCCAUCUGGCCUAAUACUGACGCUGAGGUACGAAAGCAUGGGGAGCAAACAGGAUUAGAUACCCUGGUAGUCCAUGCCGUAAACGAUGUCUACUAGCCGUUGGGGCCUUUGAGGCUUUAGUGGCGCAGCUAACGCGAUAAGUAGACCGCCUG
rnacentral:rRNA from 1 species